rnacentral:lncRNA from 1 species
ACAAGAUCCUUUAAAGAUAACUCAUAACAAGAUUCAGGCAUGUUUUUGACCAUUUCCAUAAGUUCAAAUUGGCCUUUAGCUAUAGCUAAAGCUCUAGAGCUAGUUGAAUUUGACCGGUAAUUUGUCGAAAUUUGAUGGCUAUUUUUCCAUAAGGGUGGUGAAGAAACACCAGAUUCAUCACCAUAAUCAACAUGGUUUGAACUUUCUUGUAAUUAGUCGAAACUUGAAGGGGAUGAACAGGGUUAAGUUGAUGGCUAUUUUUCCAUAAGGGUGGUGAAGAAACACCAGAUUCAUCACCAUAAUUAACAUGGUUUAAACUUUCUUGAACUCUAAAUUGGACACUAUCAACUUCAUUUCUAGGCCAA